rnacentral:rRNA from 1 species
UACGUAGGGGCCAAGCGUUGUCCGGAUUUAUUGGGCGUAAAGAGCUCGUAGGCGGUUGGGUAAGUCGGGUGUGAAAACUCCAGGCUCAACUUGGAGAUGCCACCCGAUACUGCUCUGACUUGGGUUCGGUAGGGGAGUGGGGAAUUCCUGGUGUAGCGGUGAAAUGCGCAGAUAUCAGGAGGAACACCGGUGGCGAAGGCGCCACUCUGGGCCGAAACUGACGCUGAGGAGCGAAAGCGUGGGUAGCAAACAGG